rnacentral:rRNA from 1 species
GACGAACGCUGGCGGCGUGCUUAACACAUGCAAGUCGAACGGAAAGGCCCUGCUUUUGUGGGGUGCUCGAGUGGCGAACGGGUGAGUAACACGUGAGUAACCUGCCCUUGACUUUGGUAUAACUUCAUGAAACUGGGGCUAAUACCGGAUAGGAGCUCCUGCUGCAUGGUGGGGGUUGGAAAGUUUCGGCGGUUGGGGAUGGACUCGCGGCUUAUCAGCUUGUUGGUGGGGUAGUGGCUUACCAAGGCUUUGACGGGUAGCCGGCCUGAGAGGGUGACCGGCCACAUUGGGACUGAGAUGCGGCCCAGACUCGUCCGGGACGCAGAAGUGGGGAAGAGUGCACAAUGGGCGGAAGCCUGAUGCAGCAACGCCGCGUGCGGGAUGACGGCCUUCGGGUUGUAAACCGCUUCCGCCUGUGACGAAGCGUGAGUGACGGUAAUGGGUAAAGAAGCACCGGCUAACUACGUG